rnacentral:rRNA from 1 species
CACGUAGGGCGCGAGCGUUGUCCGGAAUUAUUGGGCGUAAAGAGCUCGUAGGCGGCCUGUUGCGUCCGCUGUGAAAGCCCGGGGCUUAACCCCGGGUCUGCAGUGGAUACGGGCAGGCUAGAGGUAGGUAGGGGAGAAUGGAAUUCCCGGUGUAGCGGUGAAAUGCGCAGAUAUCGGGAGGAACACCGGUGGCGAAGGCGGCCUGCUGGGCAGUAGCUGACGCUGAGGCGCGACAGCGUGGGGAGCAAACAGG